AGGGGACUACGAGCGCUAGCUUAAAACCCAAAAGACUUGGCGGUGCCCUACACCCACCUAGAGGAGCCUGUUCUAUAAUCGAUACCCCCCGCUUUACCUCACCAAUUUUUGCCAAACCGCCUGUAUACCGCCGUCGCCAACUUACCCUUUGAAGGUCAAAAAGUAAGUAUAAUGGUCUCCCACCAAAACGUCAGGUCAAGGUGCAGCGAAUGAAUUGGAUAGAAAUGGGCUACAUUUUCUACCUUAGAAAAUACGGAAAAUCACUAUGAAACCUGAUUAGAAGGCGGAUUUAGCAGUAAAAAGAAACCAGAACAUUCUUUUUAAUCUGGCCCUAGGGCGCGCACACACCGCCCGUCACCCU
rnacentral:rRNA from 1 species